CCUACGGGAGGCAGCAGUGAGGAAUAUUGGUCAAUGGACGAGAGUCUGAACCAGCCAAGUAGCGUGAAGGAUGACUGCCCUAUGGGUUGUAAACUUCUUUUAUAAGGGAAUAAAACGAGGCACGUGUGCCUUUUUGCAUGUACUUUAUGAAUAAGGAUCGGCUAACUCCGUGCCAGCAGCCGCGGUAAUACGGAGGAUCCGAGCGUUAUCCGGAUUUAUUGGGUUUAAAGGGAGCGUAGAUGGGUUGUUAAGGCUGUUGUGAAAGUUUGCGGCUCAACCGUAGAAUUGCAAUGGAUACUGGCAUGCUUGAGUACGGUUAAGGUAGGCGGAAUUCGUGGUGUAGCGGUGAAAUGCUUAGAUAUCACGAAGAACCCCGAUUGCGAAGGCAGCUUACUAAACUGUUACUGACAUUGAUGCUCGAAGGUGUGGGUAUCAAACAGGAUUAGAUACCCCUGUAGUC
rnacentral:rRNA from 1 species